rnacentral:rRNA from 1 species
GUCGGGUAAGUUCCGACCUGCACGAAUGGCGUAACGACUUUCCUGCUGUCUCGACCACAGGCCCGGUGAAAUUGCAGUACGAGUAAAGAUGCUCGUUUCGCGCGGCAGGACGAAAAGACCCCGGGACCUUUACUAUAGCUUGGUAUUGGGGUGUGGUUCGGUUUGUGUAGGAUAGGUGGGAGACUGUGAAGCGGCCACGCUAGUGGUGGUGGAGUCGUUGUUGAAAUACCACUCUGAUCGGAUUGAGCAUCUAACCUUGGCCCAUGAUCUGGGUUGGGGACAGUGCCUGGUGGGUAGUUUAACUGGGGCGGUUGCCUCCUAAAUGGUAACGGAGGCGCCCAAAGGUUCCCUCAGUCUGGUUGGUAAUCAGGUGU